ensembl:lncRNA
GCCAGAGUGCAUAAAAGGACUGGUAUGGAAAUUAACAUUACACCAGAAAGGCGUUUGAAAUGGUUGGCACUUUUAACCUCAACACGAGGUGAAGAAAAUAAACCCACCUCCCAGACCAGAGAGGCAUGUAGAGUUGCAGCUCAUGUCCAGAGGGGUUUGAACCUUGAAUAUCAACAUGAGGAAGCAGCGAAAAGCUCACCUUCAGACAAUCACUGGAACCGUCGACACGGCUGGCUGGCUAUCUUCCAAGGAGCAUCUUCCUGAGUGAACAACAGUAGCAGGCGGGAAAGGGGAGACCCAUUUUGGACAAUCAGAGCCACACAAGCGUGCCGCUGAAAGGCCAACAACCUUCCUAAGUAGGGCUGGUUCCAACAGCGAUAAAUGCCACCAUAUUGUGUCAGUCUGCUAGGAACCUUUUUCUCAUGUAUUAAGUGUGUAUGUUUAUUCUGUGUUAUUAUUUAGUUAGCUAGAAAAUAAAUAAUUAAACCAAUUUGUGUAGCACUGAAUCAUAAGUAAGGC